GGGCAAAAGGGAGCAAGAAAACUAAGGGAAAAGAGCAAAAGGACGGGAGAGAUGAAAGCAGAUGAAGAAAUGUCUCAGUAAAGGUGUUCUGCUGAACGGCACGCGGCCCUGUGCUCUGGCAAGGCAGCGACAAAGGGGAGGUGACGCUGCUACCAGGGGGGGUCCCAAGAAGCUUGGUCCUCACCGCUGCAUGGAAAUGCCUGUGUCCACUUUGAAACAAGGGCUUUUGUCCUCCAGACCACAAAGACUGGAGAUCCUCAGACAUGGAACUCUUCAGAAGGGCUGAAAAUGACUAAUCGGAUGGGGAAACAGAGGCUCAGAGACGUCAAACUCAGAAAAGGUGUUAAUAACUAAUAAGCAGUAAGGAUCGGACUGAAAGCUGUGUCUAGUGCUCCUUCCGCUCCACCAUUCUACUACCAAAAUAAUUCCCCCCCAAAAAAAGCCUUAAAAAGAAAAAGUAAUGAGCUUCUGAGAAGCAAGAUGCCUCCCCUUCCACUGCAUUUCGCGUGUGCGAGAACCUCACGGAGAAAGCGCUUUGAAUUCAGAACUGCAAGGCGGGACAGACUCUAAACAUUUCAUCUGUCAACCUCCACAAACCCAAGGAACGAUGAAACACAGGCCGGAGUAAAGGUCUGCU